UACGGAGGGUGCAAGCGUUAUCCGGAUUCACUGGGUUUAAAGGGUGCGUAGGAGGGCAGGUAAGUCAGUGGUGAAAUCUCCGAGCUUAACUUGGAACUGCCGUUGAUACUAUCUGUCUUGAAUAUUGUGGAGGUGAGCGGAAUAUGUCAUGUAGCGGUGAAAUGCUUAGAUAUGACAUAGAACACCGAUAGCGGAGGCAGCUUACUAAGCGAUCAUUGACACUGAGGCACGAAAGCGUGGGGAUCAAACAGG
rnacentral:rRNA from 1 species